rnacentral:lncRNA from 1 species
AGGCGAAAUCAGGGCAGAUUGCUCGUUCAGGAACUCGGAUAAUCCUUCGUAUCUGAAGUCUAACGUAGCUGAUUUUGACGAGUCGAAAUCAGAAUUGUGAUGAAUGAAUACAUGGUUCUCAAGCAAUUCUCACAUCUUGUAUAAUAGCCUAAUAGGUGAACUUGCACUCUAUGUUGUAGUAUGUCGAUCGUAUUAAUGCGUUUGUUGACUCCAGUUUGCUUCAUCAAUAAAAUUUCAGAUUCAUUUUUGUAUCAAUGUUAAA